CCUACGGGUGACAGCAGUAGGGAAUCUUCCACAAUGGGCGAAAGCCUGAUGGAGCAACGCCGCGUGGGUGAAGAAGGUCUUCGGAUCGUAAAACCCUGUUGUUAGAGAAGAAAGUGCGUGAGAGUAACUGUUCACGUUUCGACGGUAUCUAACCAGAAAGCCACGGCUAACUACGUGCCAGCAGCCGCGGUAAUACGUAGGUGGCAAGCGUUAUCCGGAUUUAUUGGGCGUAAAGGGAACGCAGGCGGUCUUUUAAGUCUGAUGUGAAAGCCUUCGGCUUAACCGGAGUAGUGCAUUGGAAACUGGGUGACUUGAGUGCAGCAGAGGAGAGUGGAAUUCGAUGUGUAGCGGUGAAAUGCGUAGAUAUAUGGAAGAACACCAGUGGCGAAAGCGGCUUUCUGGUCUGUAACUGACGCUGAGGUUCGAAAGCGUGGGUAGCAAACAGGAUUAGAUACCCGAGUAGUC
rnacentral:rRNA from 1 species